rnacentral:rRNA from 1 species
GAUGAACGCUGGCGGCGUGCCUAAUACAUGCAAGUCGAGCGAACGGACGAGAAGCUUGCUUCUCUGAUGUUAGCGGCGGACGGGUGAGUAACACGUGGAUAACCUACCUAUAAGACUGGGAUCACUUCGGGAAACCGGAGCUAAUACCGGAUAAUAUUUUGAACCGCAUGGUUCAAAAGUGAAAGACGGUCUUGCUGUCACUUAUAGAUGGAUCCGCGCUGCAUUAGCUAGUUGGUAAGGUAACGGCUUACCAAGGCAACGAUGCAUAGCCGACCUGAGAGGGUGAUCGGCGACCCUGGAACUGAGACACGGUCCAGACUCCUACGGGAGGCAGCAGUAGGGAAUCUUACGCAGUGGGCGAAAGCCUGACGGAGCAACGCCGCGUGAGUGAUGACGGUCCUCGGAUCGUAAAACUCUGUUACUAGGGAAGAACAUAUGUGUAAGUAACUGUGCACAUCUUGACGGUACCUAAUCAGAAAGCAACGGCUAACUACGUG